rnacentral:rRNA from 1 species
CACCAGCGCCACAAGUGGUGAUCACGUUUAUUGGGUCUAAAGGGUCCGUAGCUGGUUAGGAAAGUUCUUUGUCAAAUCGUUAAGCUUAACUUAACAACUUGCAAGGAAAACUAUCUGACUUGGAACCGGGAGAAGGCAGAAGUACUUUAGGGGGAGUGGUAAAAUAUUAUAAUCCUUAAAGGACUACCUGUGGCAAAGGCAUCUGCCUAGAACGGGUUCGACAGUGAGGGACGAAAGCUAGGGGAGCGAUCCGGAUUAGAUACCCCAGUA